CCUACGCGAGGCAGCAGUGGGGGAUAUUGCACAAUGGGGGAAACCCUGAUGCAGCGACGCCGCGUGGGCGAAGAAGUAUUUCGGUAUGUAAAGCCCUAUCAGCAGGGAAGAAGAAAUGACGGUACCUGAGUAAGAAGCACCGGCUAAAUACGUGCCAGCAGCCGCGGUAAUACGUAUGGUGCAAGCGUUAUCCGGAUUUACUGGGGGUAAAGGGAGCGCAGGCGGCACGGCAAGCCUGAUGUGAAAGCCCGCGGCCCAACCGCGGGACUGCAUUGGGAACUACCGGGCUGGAGUGCCGGAGAGGUAGGCGGAAUUCCUAGUGUAGCGGUGAAAUGCGUAGAUAUUAGGAGGAACACCAGUGGCGAAGGCGGCCUACUGGACGGUGACUGACGCUGAGGCUCGAAAGCGUGGGGAGCAAACAGGAUUAGAUACCCGGGUAGUC
rnacentral:rRNA from 1 species